UUUUUAAGUAGAUCAGCAAGUUGAGACAGCAGCUGCUGCCAGCAAGCUCCCUCCCUCCUGAGUCCUGUUGUGUCCCCCCUGCUCUGUAGAGAUGGGGUCCAGGGGGGAGAGGGCACCCUGACAUCGGCACCCCUCUUUCCCCCCACUCCCUGCAUAGCAAGCAGGAGGCUCCAAGGCAGAGGGCAGGAGCAGCAGACGGCAGUGGGGGGAGGGACAGCUGAACUGCCGGCAAUUGGUAGCCUGCUGGGCGGCUGCCCUACAGGGAACUUAGAGGAGCGGGGAGCUGAUAGGGGGCCGGCCCACCCCGGGUCCAAGCCCCAGCCAGCUCGCUCCAAGGGGCUGCUCUUCCUGCAAGCAGUGGGCAAAGCCGGCGGCUGCCAAACAACGUUCUACGGGAGCGUGGCAACGUUAAACGAGCACGUUCCCUAAUGGAUCAGAGAGCUUAGAAAAACAUGCCAGGACCAACCGACACCUUACGGUUUGACGCCUCAGCGGGACAGCCCAAGAGGAAGGAAUGGCCCCCACUCCCGUCCACGGACGCAAGCAUCCUGCCAGCAGCUCCGCCUCUGUAGCAGCAGAUCCGUGAACGAGCUACGUUGGUCGUGACAUCGCAACUGCACAACCAGGAUGGCAUUUGGCCCUCUCCCAGCCCUGGGUUCCUGGCCUUGGGCUCCCCCAUGCCCGGCAAGGCUGGAACAAGUAGCUUUAUGGUGGCUGCAGAAGUUUUUCUUUCUUUUUCUUUUUUUUUUUUAAAUUGCAUAAGUUUGACUUCUGCUGCCAUUGCGACCAAGGGGAGCUGUCAGCCCCUUAGUGGAGUGAUUCCAUGUAGGCAUCCCAAGAUGAAAAGCUUUGGCUAGAUGACUAGGGACGUGACACCUGCUUCUGGCCCUUUAAAGGGACAGCACAAAGCCAUGCCUUUAAGAUGAAAUUUGCUACCUGCCUGCAGUGCAAUCCACAUGGAGUAAAAAUAACUCUACACAACCCAGUUACAUCAGGGCAAGUGAAACGCAGACAGCCAGUCCAUGCCAAACGCCAGACGUGGACGGGUGGGUGUAGGAGACAGACGUGAUAACAGCACAAGGAUCCUUCAGAGACGUCACAGCUCAGGUUUGGCCUCAAGGGUAGACACCAGAGUCUGCUGCAAAACCCAAGCCCACUGGAGAAGUUUGCACAGACCCUACAGCCUUGAUAACAAGCCUGACUGCAUUAGCUCCUACUUCCCAGCCUAUCUCGGGGGAGAACACACAUAGGAAAUGGCACAGCCAAUGCAAAGCAGAACUGGAUUCGAAAAGCUGUUUCAGGUUUAAUAAUUAAAGGCAGCAUUAGUAACUUGGGAUAAGGAAAUCUGUCUGCUUAAAAUAAGGUUUAAGAGGUUCCCUUUCACACAAGACAAAAAAACUUGUACAGAUACAGACAUAAAUUUGUUACUCUCUAAGGUGCCACAAGUACUCCUUUUCUUUUUACAAGACAGUUAGUUCUCCUUCCAUUUCUGUUUAAAAUAGUCUCCCUUCCAAACAGACCUGCUUGGAAGAUUCCCCAGCCCCAGAUGGAAUUAGUUAGGCCACUUGAUCAUUGUAAACUUCACUUACCCCUAGAGCAGCCAGGCGCUAAAGAGAAAACACUCCAGCUAUAGACAGGGAGCCCAGCACCCAGCUCCAGGGAGUCGGCUUUUAUGUGGUUGUCUAUGGAUAGAGGAAUACGCAACCCAUCCCAAAGGCAAAGUAACUCAUUAGGGAACCAUGCCCCUUUAAC